UACGGAGGGUGCGAGCGUUGUCCGGAAUCACUGGGCGUAAAGGGCGCGUAGGCGGCGCGAGUAGUCAGCGGUGAAAGCCCGGGCUCACCCGGUCGGCCGUCGAUACUCUCGUGCUUGAGCACUGUAGAGGCAGGUGGAAUUCCGGGUGUAGCGGUGGAAUGCGUAGAGAUCCGGAAGAACACCGGUGGCGAAGGCGGCCGUGCUGGGCAGUGAGCUGACGCUGAGGCGCGACAGCGUGGGGAGCAAACAGG
rnacentral:rRNA from 1 species